GACCAACGAAAUGAUCAGGCAGCAAUCUCUUUGUUCUGGAAAUUAGUUGAGACUAUUUAACAGCCUCAGGGGCACCCUCCGCAGCACAGGGAACGGGGAUUCUCGGUGGAUAUUUCCUUUGCUGGAGGAGUAAAUCAGGUUGUGAGGACAAUGACACAGAGAAAGCCUAAGACUAUUCAAAAUGAGGUCUAUACGCGGCUGCUGGUCCAUGUCUGGGUGAAGCCCAUGAGAUAAUCAGAAGACCUGAGCUGUGACAUUCAGGAAGCUUUACAGCGAGGCUAUGACAGUUGGCUGUCACCAUUUGCAGACGAGAUUGGGCUUUCCAUCUCUUUAUUAUUUCAGUUUCCUACUUUUGCUUGUUUAUUGCAUGUUUACCAAUGCACUUGUCUGCAUUGCUCAACAGAACUCCACAGAGACUCUGCAAGACUCACUGAUGCUAUUGGGCUUCAAGAAAUCUCUUCACUCUCAUUAGAAUCUGCAUUGUCUCUGUGUUUUAAGGUGUAUGAGUCCACAUGAAUAUAAUCAGAAACACGGGACACAAGCAUUGAUUGUAGUUGCU
rnacentral:lncRNA from 1 species